UACAGAGGGUGCAAGCGUUGUUCGGAAUUACUGGGGCGUAAAGCGUAUGCAGGCGGAUCGUUAAGUCGGGGGUGAAAUCCCGAGGCUCAACCUCGGAACUGCCUUCGAUACUGGCGAUCUUGAGUCCGGGAGAGGUGAGUGGAACUCCGAGUGUAGAGGUGAAAUUCGUAGAUAUUCGGAAGAACACCAGUGGCGAAGGCGGCUCACUGGCCCGGUACUGACGCUGAGAUACGAAAGCGUGGGGAG
rnacentral:rRNA from 1 species